ensembl:lncRNA
GGCUUUAAUGAAGUGGUAUUUUUAGAAGAAGUGAGGCGGGAGGAUUUGGAUAUUCCUCCGGAUUGCGAACGCUCAGAGUCGAGAGAAGCACCUCAGAGGAGCCGCGUGGAAACGAUCGGACCUGAGGUGAGGAGACGAAGGCCCUGAGGUGAGGAGACGAAGGACCUGAGGUGAGGAGACGAAGGCCCUGAGGUGAGGAGACGAAGGACCUGAGGUGAGGAGACGAAGGCCCUGAGGUGAGGAGACGAAGGACCUGAGGUGAGGAGACGAAGGACCUGAGGUGAGGAGACGAAGGCCCUGAGGUGAGGAGACGAAGGCCCUGAGGUGAGGAGACGAAGGACCUGAGGUGAGGAGACGAAGGGACCUGAGGUGAGGAGACGAAGGCCCUGAGGUGAGGAGACGAAGGACCUGAGGUGAGGAGACGAAGGGACCUGAGGUGAGGAGACGAAGGACCUGAGGUGAGGAGACGAAGGCCCUGAGGUGAGGAGACGAAGGACCUGAGGUGAGGAGACGAAGGCCCUGAGGUGAGGAGACGAAGGCCCUGAGGUGAGGAGACGAAGGACCUGAGGUGAGGAGACGAAGGACCUGAGGUGAGGAGACGAAGGGACCUGAGGUGAGGAGACGAAGGACCUGAGGUGAGGAGACGAAGGCCCUGAGGUGAGGAGACGAAGGCCCUGAGGUGAGGAGACGAAGGACCUGAGGUGAGGAGACGAAGGGACCUGAGGUGAGGAGACGAAGGACCUGAGGUGAGGAGACGAAGGGACCUGAGGUGAGGAGACGAAGGACCUGAGGUGAGGAGACGAAGGCCCUGAGGUGAGGAGACGAAGGACCUGAGGUGAGGAGACGAAGGACCUGAGGUGAGGAGACGAAGGCCCUGAGGUGAGGAGACGAAGGGACCUGAGGUGAGGAGACGAAGGCCCGGAGGUGAGGAGACGAAGGACCUGAGGUGAGGAGACGAAGGCCCUGAGGUGAGGAGACGAAGGCCCUGAGGUGAGGAGACGAAGGACCUGAGGUGAGGAGACGAAGGCCCUGAGGUGAGGAGACGAAGGGACCUGAGGUGAGGAGACGAAGGCCAACGAGAGCGUCCUGUUUGAUCUCUUCUGCAGGACUCGUCAUGUGAUCAGCAGGGACCAAUCGCACCUGCUCACCGGCAGCAAGCUCCUCCGCUCGCCUCCUCGGGACGGAAAUCAAGCAUCAAACAUCUUAAUUAAAGUCAUUCAUGAAAAUCGGUCGUUUAUUCCUCUGUUAUGAAAUGUGUUUCUCAGUCUAUAAUUAUUAGGGUUGAUCAGCACCUAAUAACCAAAAUAAAAGAACAUUUAGUUUAGAACAGAAACACACCUGACAGAGAGAUGUUACACGUUUAAUUAAAAUAAUGAAUUUAUUAUUCAUUAAAGGAUGCAUAAGAAUAAAAAGUGCCCGCUGACAUUUCCCCCCCUUCUCUCCUCGUUAAAGUCAACGUGUGAAAGCCGGACUUUUGCUGUGAUGAGUUUAUAGUUUCAUAACGAGUUUCUAAGAAAGAAAAAUGUUAAUAGAAGCUUUUAAUACGUCCCCUAAAUAUGGUUUUAAUAUGUUUGCAUGAGCCUGCCUGACGCUCCGCCCCCCCUGUGCUGCACCCAGAGCUCAUUUCUGUGUUUUACUUUAUCAACUUAUCAAACAGACCGACAGCCGCUUCCUGCAGACACGUUGGAAAUAAACAGUUUGAUGUCAUCAUGAAAUAAACAGUUUGAUGUCAUCAUGAAAUAAACAGUUUGAUGUCAUCAUGAAAUAAACAGUUUGAUGUCAUCAUGAAAUAAACAGUUUGAUGUCAUCAUGAAAUAAACAGUUUGCUGUCUUCAUGACAUGAAGAGUUUGCUGUCUUCAUGAGAUGAAGAGUUUGAUGAAGAGUUUGCUGUCUUCAUGAGAUGAAGAGUUUGAUGAAGAGUUUGCUGUCUUCAUGAGAGGAAGAGGCAUCAGGAUGAAACUGAAACGUUUUCUUCUUUCACAACGUGUUGAAAAUAAAGACGCAACGAGUCUCGUCUCUGAACUUCUCAUGCAAAUCCGCUGCAGCUUUAAAGAAGUCUUUACUGACAUUAAUCACAUGAUUUCCAUGACAUUUGCAUGUCAUUUGCAUGGACAGAGACAUUUCCCAAAGCUGCUCAUUGUCUUCAUGGACUCCGGACCUUCGUCCUUUAACUGCCGGGGUCGGAGGCUGUUAAACCGAACAGAAGAGGCCGAGAGCUUUGUAACCACCUGUGGUUCCACAAAGGCUCCGGUCUGAAAUGCUCACACCGGGUCAGUUUGGGAGGAAACGCCGCUUUACCCAUGAGCCUCGGCUGCUGCUGCUGCGGAGCAGAAGAAGAAGAAGAAGAAAUGAGGCAGUGGAGAGAUUUUAACCCAUGGAUGUUUAUCAGCAGAAUGAGAUGUUCUGUGAGGAGCUUUGUUAGUGAAAUGCAAUAAAAUGUAAUGUGUCAUAAGGCCGAUAUUUUCAAGUUACACUUGAAGAGUUUGACUUUAAAUAUGAAUCAUAGAAUUAUGUAUUUUUAUUUGUGAAAACAUGCAUCAUUCUGUAAAUUAUUUUAUGACUUCAAAGGAACACGUUUCUCUAUCAAGUGAAAAUAAUAUUGAUUUUAUUUGUUAUGAGAUUAAUUUGGAGGUUGAGAUGAUUUCAGAGGAAACACACACACACACAUACACACACACACACACACACACACACACAUAUUUCUAACAAACAUCCAGCAUUUUGUGUGAUGAAACGUUUUCUAGCUCUCUAUAAAUCUGCUGUGUGACUCAAUCUGUCCCAAUAAAUCUUCAAUAACAUCGUUAUUCAUUCUGUAAUUUGCAACUCGUUCUAAACUGUGUAAAUUUGCCCAAAC